rnacentral:rRNA from 1 species
GUGGGGAAUUUUGGACAAUGGGCGAAAGCCUGAUCCAGCCAUGCCGCGUGAGUGAAGAAGGCCUUCGGGUUGUAAAGCUCUUUCGGCCGGAACGAAAUCGUCCGGGUUAACACCUCGGACGGAUGACGGUACCGGAACAAGAAGCACCGGCUAACUACGUGCCAGCAGCCGCGGUAAUACGUAGGGUGCAGGCGUUAAUCGGAAUUACUGGGCGUAAAGCGUGCGCAGGCGGCUUCUUAAGUCAGAUGUGAAAUCCCCGAGCUUAACUUGGGAACUGCGUUUGAAACUGGGAAGCUAGAGUGUGGUAGAGGGGGGUGGAAUUCCACGUGUAGCAGUGAAAUGCGUAGAUAUGUGGAGGAACACCGAUGGCGAAGGCAGCCCCCUGGGCCUGCACUGACGCUCAUGCACGAAAGCGUGGGGAGCAAACAGGAUUAGAUACCCCGGUAGUCC